UCUCUUCCUUUCUUUUCCAUAGCGCGUCUUACCCUGCAAGUGACAAUUAAUGCUCGAAAGAACAUAAAAUGGAGGAGAAAUUACAGCAAUUUAUCAGCUGAAAUUAUAGGUGUAGACACAUGUCAGCCGUGGAAAUGGUUUCUAUCAAAAUUAAAGUAUUUAGAGAUUUUCCUCAAAUUUCAAAUUAUGCAAAUUCCAUUUUCUGAGAUGCCACAGCAUGGUGGCUUUAAUUGCAGGCUUACUAGGAAUGUCUCGAGAAACACGGGGACUUGAGGGUCUCUCUCCUUCCUAAGCAGUUCUUUCAUGCCCACAACUCACAAAUGCAAGAGACAGACAGACCUAAGCUGUGAGGAGGACUGUGGCUUCCACAGCUGCACAGUGGACCAUGGAGACCUGCAGCAGUUAGAUGGCAGUCUGCCCACCCCAGAGACAGCCAAGAACGCUGGUGUCUGGUGGUACCUUGGCCAGGGUGAAUCUAACAUGCUGUGCAGCACCUCACCAGGUUCCUGUUCCCAAGCCCCUCCUUGGUUAAAUUUUACUCAAACUGUUCUUCAGUGGUCCACAGGAACACAACUGUUCUGUGUUGCAGUUUGCAUGCAGCUUGAAUGUUCCCCAGGAUUUUCACUCUGAAAUUU
rnacentral:misc_RNA from 1 species